UACGUAGGCAGCGAGCGUUGUUCGGAGUUACUGGGCGUAAAGGGUGUGUAGGCGGUUUUCUAAGUUUGGUGUGAAAUCUCCCGGCUCAACCGGGAGGGUGCGCCGAAAACUGGGAGACUAGAGUGCGGGAUGGGAGAGUAGAAUUCCUAGUGUAGCGGUGAAAUGCGUAGAUAUUAGGAGGAAUACCAGUAGCGAAGGCGGCUCUCUGGACUGUAACUGACACUGAGGCACGAAAGCGUGGGGAGCAAACAGG
rnacentral:rRNA from 1 species